GAUCUCAAGUCACAUCUCCAGUGCAGACACAGCCCCACUGAUUAGAGCCCGCUCUCCCCAUGUGAAUGGGACAGAGAGAGAGGAGGGCGCACCCUGACCCCCCCACCCUACCCUGAGCAGAGGAGGAAGAGGAGCAGGGGUGGGGGGAGGAAAGAAGAGGGAGACCCCCAGAAUCACCCAGCAAAGGGGGAGCAGGCAGCAAGCCCGGGCAGUGCGCUCAUGCAUGACCGGGUCUAGUGGGUUCUCCCCGAGACGGCGAACUUUGGGGAUCCCCCGCCCCGGAAGUGGAGAAGUUUCUCACCCCCCCACCCCCUUCAGCGGAGAUCAGGCCCAGGAGAAGCAGCCGCUACCCAUGCCCCAAGCGGGGGGUUGAAGUUGAGCCUUGAUUCCAGACGCUGUCGAGCCAAACAGGUCCUUCGAGCAAGUCAUGAUGGUUGAAUCUGCCUCGGAGACAAUACGCUCCACUCCCUCCAGCCAGAACGGGGUCAGCAGCCUCACCAACCAGACAGACGGAGGAGGAGGCGGUGGCGGCGGAGGAGGAGGAAGGGAAGGAGGCGGCGGGGAAACCAAUGGGGAAAUGAGCCCGGUGGAACUCCUGCAUUUUCAGCAGCAGCAGGCUCUCCAGGUGGCGAGACAGUUCCUUCUGCAGCAGGCCACGGGGCUGACCUCUCCUAGCAGCAAUGAGAACAAGCAGCCCGCAGUCCAGGUCCCUGUGUCCGUCGCUAUGAUGUCGCCUCAGAUGAUCACGCCACAGCAGAUGCAGCAGAUCCUGUCUCCUCCCCAGCUCCAAGCUCUGCUACAGCAGCAACAGGCGAUCAUGCUGCAACAGCUGCAGGAAUACUACAAGAAGCAACAGGAGCAGCUUCACCUGCAGCUAUUGACACAGCAGCAAGCCGGAAAGCAGCAACCCAAAGAGCAGCCAUUAGGGAAUAAACAGCUGGCGUUCCAACAGCAACUACUGCAGAUGCAACAGCUGCAGCAGCAGCACUUGUUAAACCUUCAGCGACAGGGGCUGGUCAGCCUUCAGCCGGGACAAGGCACCGUUCCCCUGCAGACCCUUCCACAAGCUGUGUGUCCCUCAGACCUGCAGCAGCUCUGGAAAGAGGUCACCGCUACCCAGCCUGUAGAAGACAGCAUCAAGCAAGAGGGCCUCGACCUGACCACCAACACUUCAAACUCUACCUCGUUUUCGGCCACCAAGGUCUCGCCUCCCAUUUCCCACCACUCUCUCCCCAAUGGACAGAGCGCCAUGCUCACGCCAAGGAGGGACAGCAGCUCUUCUCAUGAAGAGAACCCCGGCUCCCACCCUCUGUACGGACAUGGAGAAUGCAAGUGGCCUGGUUGUGAAACCCUCUGUGAGGACUUGGGACAGUUUGUCAAACACCUCAAUACGGAACACGCACUUGAUGACCGAAGCACAGCCCAGUGUCGAGUUCAAAUGCAAGUGGUACAGCAGCUGGAAAUACAGCUGGCGAAAGAAAGCGAGCGUCUCCAGGCAAUGAUGGCCCACCUCCAUAUGAGACCUUCGGAGCCGAAGCCAUUCAGUCAACCUCUGAACCUGGUCUCAAGCGCCACCCUCUCCAAGAGCACUUCAGAUACCUUUCCAGAUGGCUUACCUCAUCCCCCUACCUCCGCCACCGCCCCCAUCACUCCCUUGCGGCAGGGCCCAUCCGUCAUCAGCUCCUCCACCUUACAGACCAUGGGGGCCAUUCGCAGGAGAAACCCCGAAAAAUUCUGCCCCCCAAUAUCUUCAGAGCUUGCACAGAAUCACGAGUUUUACAAAAACACAGACGUCCGGCCGCCCUUCACGUAUGCCUCACUUAUCCGGCAGGCUAUCCUGGAGACCCCAGACAGGCAGCUAACGUUGAAUGAAAUCUACAACUGGUUCACGCGGAUGUUUGCCUACUUCAGGAGGAACACCGCCACCUGGAAGAAUGCCGUGCGCCACAACCUGAGCCUGCACAAGUGCUUUGUGCGAGUGGAGAACGUCAAGGGAGCCGUCUGGACGGUAGACGAAGUCGAGUACCAAAAGCGAAGGCCACCAAAGAUGACGGGGAGUCCAACUUUAGUCAAAAACAUGAUUUCGGGACUCAGUUAUGGAGCACUUAAUGCCAGCUACCAGGCAGCCCUGGCAGAGAGCAACUUCCCCCUCCUAAACAGCCCCACCAUGAUCAACACCAGCUCCACCAGCGGCAUGCUGCACAUCGGCCACGACGACGUGAGCAGCACCGUGGAACAAGUCAACAGCAAUGGCAGCAACAGCCCCCGGCUUUCCCCGCAGCAGUACAGCCAUCAAGUCCACGUGAAGGAAGAACCCACCGAGGCUGAGGACGACAACAGGCCUGUCUCUCUCAUGGCUACCACCAAUCAGAAUGUGACGAUCCCGGAGGACAGGGACCUGGAUGAGGAGCUGCCGGUGGAAGACUUGUCUUAAUGGCUCUCCCUCCUCACCUAGGGGCAAGCACUUCGCCCCUUCCCCCCCCCAGGUGGAGACCAAGCAAUGGCUCCCAUCUCCUCAAGGUGACCUUCGGCAUUAACCUGACAAAGCAAAAGGGUUUCUUCGGUGCAACCUAUUGCUGAAGGCACGUCCCCUCUCCCCCAGACCCUCCCAGCCCUGUCCCAGUGACUCUUAACAGACUUCCACAAUGAGGGACGUGCAGAGAAACAAAAAAACAAUCCCUCCCCCUUUGGUUAGUGAUUGGUGAACGAGGAUGGUAGGUUGUUUCUGUCCGAAAAUUUCUCCUUAUUUCCCCCACCCUGUUUUCCAACUUCAUGGCAAAAGGAAGGCACCUCCUGUCACUUUGGUUUUCUCAGUAUUUUGUUACGUCUCAGUCCAUGCUCUGGGCUUUUCCAGUGGUGAUGGGACUACUCUGUUCCAUGCGAGGUUCUCCCCAAGCAACGUUCUGUGCAACAGAGACAAUGUCCGAGCUACAUGCCUCCAUGAAUGUUUCCCCAGCCCCCCCACCACCACCUUCUCUUUGGAAAAAAUCAUCUGUGACGCCAGGAACCCACCAGUCAUUCUCCCCUCAGUGGGCUUUGCACUAGGAGAAACUUUCACCUCACGGAUGCCACCUGCAGAUACCCAACUGGCGGCUGGCCUGGAAGUUCCAGUCACCCCCAUCUUGGUUCCUUUCCUGGCUAUGGAGGAAAAGAACUUGUUGUGUCCAUAGGAGCCUGAGCUUGGCGUAACCUUACGCAGCCCCAUCAAGCUGUCGCCUCUAGCAGGUCUUACUGCCAAAUGCUAAACCACUUGGAGAACAUAAUAGCCAACCUGUGUUUAUCUUCCACCUUCCUGACACCUGUUCCCUCUCUGCCUUGCUCUACAGUGGCAUAGUAGCAUCACGGGGGCAGUCCACUUUACCCACACAAACACAAUCACUCCACAGCAGGGGCAGAUGCUCUGCCCUUGAGUUUCGUUCCCUUUGAAAACGAAGAAAGGACAUCUCUCCCGCCCCAUCUCGUGUGGUGGAAAUGUUGGAAGGACAGCAGCAGGGCCCACUCAGAAUCCAGCACCCGGGCGUCAAAGAUCGAAACGAGAGCUGAAUGCCAGUUUGAAUUCAGGGAAAGACUUGAGCCUUUCUCUGCAGAACAGUGUGUCCAGUUCUUUCUCCUCCUCCCAGCUCCCCUUCCGUCCCCAUUCUGUGUCGAUGAAAAGUUCUCAUGGGAUGAAACACUGAGCAGGGUCUGUGCCUGCUUUGUGAAGCCUCCUCUUCCCUUCCCUGGUGCAGGGCAUUUAAGGAAAGGGUGGUGAAUGGAAGAGACGUCCCCUGGGCCAUCCUGGCUUGGGUAGUCGUGUGUGCUGGUUCGUACUAGUGAAGCUGAGCAGGACGAGACAGUGGAAUCCAAAGGAGCGGGCGUGGGGUCUGGCUCGGCUCUAUGAAUCAAAGCAGGAGCUCAGCUAUCUGAGCUGACCAGGACAAUCCUAAAGCAAUACGUACUAUAAGGUAGUCAUGGGGCCCUUCCUCCACUGUGGCCAGACAGAUCUGAGCUAGACCCAGGCACUCGGCUCCAGUUAGCCCACUGGCUGGGACAGCAUGCAGCCCGGGGUCCCGCCACCCUCGCCAUGUCAGAGACUUGGGCCCAGAGCCAUGGCGAACUGGGAGCAAGUGGUUUUUUUGUCAAGACAGGAAGAUACCAAAAGAUUUUUCGGGAUAGAAGGUCCAUAGUUCAGGUGAACAGACGGUAUUAAUGCCAAAAAAAGAGAAAAAAAUCCAAACACCAAACCCCUUCUCUCCCCUCUUGAUUUUUGUCUAUUGGUUAUUUGUGUAUUUGUUACCUCAGUCACACUGCCCAAGGGCUUUUCUCUUUGCAGAAAGCAGCAAACUUCCAAAGGUUCCUCUGCCCAGCCUCCCGGACGGGACGUUGAUACCCACCCCCCAGCACCAAUGAGACUUUGGCAAGCUGAACUUUCUGGUUACAGGACAGGAUCCUGUUUGGGGAGUGUUGGGAGAUGGAGGCAGACAAGGCUGUAGCGGAAAGCACUCCUCCUUAACAGAUCCAUAUCAAGCUAUAGAGAUGGGGCAAAAUGUGAUCCUGGAUUCUUGAGAAUAAAUGACACCCGCCCAAAGAUGUGCACACAAAACAGGGAACACACCCUGUCCAAGGGAUCUGCGACACAAUGGGUACCAAAGCUGUAAUUUCCUCUCUGAGAUCACCAUUGUCUAUCUGCUGGUAUUAUCCUUGUGUUACAGCCUUGCCAAAGCAUUAGCCCGACCCUGAAAGUUGGUAGCCCCAUGGCAUAUUGCCACCUCAUUCUAGAUAAGCCAAAAAAGUUCAAUUUCAUUAUUAUUACUUUAGUAGUUCAAUGUUACUUAAAAAACAAACAAACAAACAAAAACCCCACUGUAUGCAAAACACACAUACGCCGCCACCCAUAGGAUGCACACAAGUACUGUUACAAAAAAGCAACUGGCUUGUGCUACUUUUUUCUCUGCUCAUCAACCAUAAUGUGUGUCCUUGUAUGUUGUUACGCCAUGAUCUGGCUCAGAAGAGCACUAUAUAAAUUAUAUAUGAAUAUACAUAAAUAUAAAGGGUUUUUUAAACUAUGUGCAGGUUUGGAAUAUUCUACAGCUCCAAGCGCUCCUGUUUUUUGUUUGCCCCAAUUGUUCAAGCCACAUUAAGUGUUUGUGUCACAUUAAAUGUGUCCAGUUUGAUACUCAGGGGUAAUUUUUAUUUCAUUCUCUUACCCCCCUCGUUGUCUGGCCCAGCCUUUUUCCGGAGAUGUGUAUAAUGAAGGUACAAUACCGCACAAACCUUCUCUUACGUUUCACCCAAACGACGUACAGUACUUAAGGGGGGGGCGUGGUUUCUUUUCACCCAUUGAAUUUUUAAAAUUCUUUGCCUUGUUACCUCAAAACAUGGUUCAUGCAGGGGUGGGAGAGUUAAAGGACCAAACGCAACGUGUGGCAGAAUCGUGUAUGUCUGUAUAUAUUGAGAUAUAUAUACUGGUUUUAAACCUACUACCGUGAGCUUUUUCUGUUGUUGGUUCCUUUUUCUCUAAUGGCAUUAUUCUGGGCAGGGAAUAGCCCAGAAAGUUUAGAACCCCUUUCUGCAAAUUAGGGAGCUCUUCUGGUAUCUCUCCUUGGCUUUACUUGGAGAGUAUUGCAUUUUUCCAUGUUGUCUUGGGUUUAAUUUUUUAUUUUUUUUGUGUGUGAGACUAGCUUAUAGUGGUAGAGAGGUGAGGGGACAGAUCAACCAGUGGAAGAAAGGAACUAGGCUCCCUGACCUAACCAUUUCCAGUCAGUGUUUACUGGGAAUUAGGGGAGGUGGAAGGGAGGACAGAGACAGCUGAAGUUUAAUUCAACCAAAGGUCUUUUGUUUACAUAAAUAUCCAGUGUCGUCAUUUUUUUUUAAUGUAUUAUGUUCUUGGAAGCUUUUAAAAAAUAAGAGAUGGAAUCCAACUGUGGGAUUUUGUGCCCUGGAUUCUGACUGACCCCAAAGUUCGAGGACACUCAGAUCUGAGGUUCAGCUUCUUGUAAACAUAGGCACCCUCUGCAAAAUAUGGACCGCCACUGGGAGUUGAGAUUUGGAACACCCCAAAGCGUAGUUAGAACUGCAGGGGUUGGUCACACUGAGCAGAAAUGGGGUCACCCUCUGCCUUUACAAGUGAGAAAACCUUGCUGGCUGAAGGGGACUGGCAGCGCAGCCCUUCCUCCAACCCUUUUAGAAUUCCUGCUGAAUUUAUAACAGAAGAAUCAUUAGCCAGUUGUCCCGUCAUCCUUCCCUAUUUCCCCCUCCACCACAGUCAGAGCUCUGCCUCUCUGACCUCUGCACAACCCUGGCAAUAGUCUUCCAAACCCCUUGUUGAAUCUCAGGUGGCGGGAACACCCCAAAACCAAUGACUAGUGACUUUUAAUCAGUGUCAGCUUAGCCAUGAAGCCAGGCCCUGACGUGGCUUGUUGGUCUGAGUGGGUGGACGGAGGAGGGAGCAUUGGCCUGCUGACCUGACUUGAACUCAGCUUGCACUUGUAGUACCCUCCAUGGCCACUGCAGGUCCUCAUUCUAAGCAUGCUCAGUUGCAAAGGAAGUUUGUUCUCCCUGAUCACAAUCCCUAGCCUUUGGAGAAGGUGGCAUUGUUGCAUAAGGAGAAAACCAACCCCACUUUCCAAAUUUCACCCAUACUACAGUUCCAGCUGCCUACUCAGCUACCUCCCCACCCAUGAUUCAGACCAUGAAGUCUGCAUUUCUCUUUGCUCUUGGCUCGAAGGAGGGGGGAGGUGAGAAUUUAGACCUGCAGUGAUGGUAACUUUUUUAAUUUCCUCCUCGGCGUUGGUCAGUGGGAGGAUACGAUCCUUCAAGAGGUGGAGGAGGGGACAGGGAAGGUGGCAGAAGGAUGUGCAUAAACCUUGACUCUUCCUCUCCUGCCAUCCCCAUCACUGCCAUAUGCCCGUGCUGUAUAAAGGAAAUAGCAUUGCUGUGUAUUUGUACUCUGAACUUCCGUGUGUCUGCUUUGGCAGACGGUAAACCCUUGUACAGUAGAUCUAGCUGCAUGUAAUCUGUAUGGACAAUGGCAUUAUAAAAUGCAA